GCAUUCUAUCGCCUCCGGAAACCGUUUUGUCAGUUGAUUGGAGAGAGUGGAUGUCCAUCAGGGUCACGCUCCGAGGCAAGGGGAGGCGAAACGAGAGGGAAGACGGCUUCUCUCUGAAGGGUAGACGGGCCUGCUGGGACGCUCCGGGAGGACUUGGGACAGGCGCUGGGCGGGGUUUCGUCGUUCCGCGGAACGCCGGGAAGGGGUCACUUCCAGAUGAAGGUUCCGGUUCCGGUGCGGGCGGAGGUUGCGUUGCCACGGCAGCGCGGUUGGCCGGCCGCUGGUUCUGGCGUUGCGGGUGGUGGGGGGGCUGGAGCAGGCUUGGAUCCGCCGUUCCCGGCUUAGGUGAGCUUCCCGGAGCUUCAGUAAGGCCGCGGCUGUUCGCGGCGAGAGCAGGGACUGCGCCGGGCUCUGGCGGCCAGGCCUGCCCGGGGCUACGGCGUCGGGGCCCGGGCCGUGUGUCGCAGCCCUCCUGUGGUCCCGCUGCCCCCGUGGGAGCAGAGGCCCAGACCCCUUCCCGUGGUUCCCGCCUCUGCAGCGCGAUUAUUUCACUAAAACAACUUUGAUUUUUAAAGUUUGUAAAGAGCUCUCGUCUGUGUGAUCGGGGCUUCGCUGACUUUCCAGCCGACCUAAGCCCCUGGGCUUGGGCCCAGGAAAGGUUGAAUGGGGAACUAAGAAAGGAAUUGGUUCAUUCGACAGACGUUUUCUGAGCAGCUGCUGCGUGCAAGGCACGGUGCCGGCGCGGGACCUGUGCCCAGAGCUUGAGAAAUGAGAAGCAGUACGUAGAACAGUGCUUGGAACCUAGCAGGUGCUCACAUUGGUGGAAAGAAUGAUCCCAGAAGAGCGGGGCUCAGUGAAAUCGCCACGUGGUCUGUAGUCUUGGAGCGGUGCUGGGUUGGUGGUACCCUAGAGCACACCAGACUUGCAGAGAAAGCAUUCUCCAGAGGAAGCUGAGGCAUGGCUGCUCAAGGGACAGCAGUGCCAUGUGCAAUUUUCCUCUGAUAGUUUCCGAUUACUGUUGCCACGGUGAUAAUGGCUGUGCCAUGUCAUUAUCUAUCAACCGACAGUAAGAGAAGCUUUUGCAGUCAGAUGUUGUUUAACAGAUGGAGUGGUUUCUGUUGGACACUAAGUACUGCUACAAAUUACUUUCUUUUUAAACCCUAAGUAUUUAAAAAUUUGUGGCUGGAGGUGACCUGGUUCUGCUUUGGAGGUGCUCAAGUUUAAAAAUCAGAAAAUUAGUACAUGUACUGACAGCAAGUGAAUCUUCCAAAUAAUCGUUCACCGGGAGACUUGAGGCCAGUAAGCUGAAAAUAAACUCAAGAUGUUACUCAGAAGUGCUCCCCAGUGACGUAUUUGUUUUAUCCCCGUGGUUGUUAUUGAUGUUUGGUAGUUUUCUAAUGUGGGACCCAAAAUUGAUCAGCUUCUUAAAGAGUCCUUUUUUUUCCCCUCUAGAGUCAUUGAUUCCAGGUAAAUCAGAGGAACAAACAUCAUACAGAAAUAUACAGGACAGUAACAUACAGGAAGCGAUGUGAUGUCGAAGCUUAACUGUUGUUUCAAAAGUCCAGCAUCUGGUGCACCUAACAGUAGGGGCUAUAUUAUUUGCAAAGUCACCUAACUUUUACUCAUACUUAUGUUCUGAUAGAUUCCAUGAUUCAAACUGUUAUUACAUUUCCAGCGACUUCUGAGAAGGUGCCCAGACCACAGAAUUCAGAAAGCAAGGAGCCAGUACUGUUGUGUGUCACACUUGCUAGGAAGAUUUAUCUGUUGGCAGGAGUCUGUGUCUUCCUCUGAUAAUCACUGAGAUUGCGGCCAGACGAACACUGAGAAAAUUUUAUUGUUUUCCUUUGAAUGAUGGCUAAGAUGUAUUGCCAAGGCCAUAAAUAUUCAUUAUGUUGA